UAAACUGAAGAGUUUGAUCAUGGCUCAGAUUGAACGUUGGCGGCACGCCUAAUACAUGCAAGUCGAACGAGAAAGCACUUCGGUGUGAGUACAGUGGCGGACGGGUGAGUAACGCGUAGGAAUCUACCUAGUAGUGGGGGACAACUCGAGGAAACUCGAGCUAAUACCGCAUACGCUCUUAGGAGGAAAGUGGGGGAUCUUCGGACCUCGUGCUGUUGGAGGAGCCUGCGUUAGAUUAGCUUGUUGGUGAGGUAAAGGCUCACCAAGGCGACGAUCUAUAGCUGGUCUGAGAGGACGAUCAGCCACACUGGAACUGAGACACGGUCCAGACUCCUACGGGAGGCAGCAGUGGGGAAUAUUGCACAAUGGGGGCAACCCUGAUGCAGCCAUGCCGCGUGUGUGAAGAAGGCCUUCGGGUUGUAAAGCACUUUCAGUUGUGAGGAAAGGUUAGUAGUUAAUACCUGCUAGCUGUGACGUUAACAACAGAAGAAGCA
rnacentral:rRNA from 1 species